rnacentral:rRNA from 1 species
GCCUAGGAAAUUGCCCUUAUGUGGGGGAUAACCAUUGNGAAACGAUGGCUAACACCGCAUGAUGCCUACGGCGCCAGAAGGAGGGAGGACCUUCGGGCCUCUCGCGUCAAGAUAUGCCUAGGUGGGAUUAUCUAGUUGGUGAGGUAAUGGCUCACCAGGGCGACUAUCCCUAGCUGGUCUGAGAGGAUGAUCACCCACACUGGAACUGACACACGGUCCACACUCCUACGGGAGGCAGCAGUGGGGAAUAUUGCACAAUGGGCGCAAGCCUGAUGCACCCAUGCCGCGUGUAUGAAGAACGCCUUCGGGUUGUAAAGUACUUUCACUCGUGAGGAAGGUGGUGUUGUUAAUAGCAGCAUCAUUUGACGUUAGCGACAGAAGAAGCACCGGCUAACUCCGUGCCAGCAGCCGCGGUAAUACGGAGGGUGCGAGCGUUAAUCGGAAUUACUGGGCGUAAAGCGCAUGCAGGUGGUGGAUUAAGUCAGAUGUGAAAGCCCGGGGUUCAACUUCGGAACCGCAUUUGAAAUUGGUUCACUAGAGUACUGUAGAGGGGGGUAGAAUUUCAGGUGUAGCGGUGAAAUGCGUAGAGAUCUGAAGGAAUACCGGUGGCGAAGGCGGCCCCCUGGACAGAUACUGACACUCAGAUGCGAAAGCGUGGGGAGCAAACAGGAUUAGAUACCCUGGUAGUCCACGCCGUAAACGAUGUCUACUUGGAGGUUGUGGCCUUGAGCCGUGGCUUUCGGAGCUAACGCGUUAAGUAGACCGCCUGGGGAGUACGGUCGCAAGAUUAAAACUCAAAUGAAUUGACGGGGGCCCGCACAAGCGGUGGAGCAUGUGGUUUAAUUCGAUGCAACGCGAAGAACCUUACCUACUCUUGACAUCCAGAGAAGCCAGCGGAGACGCAGGUGUGCCUUCGGGAGCUCUGAGACAGGUGCUGCAUGGCUGUCGUCAGCUCGUGUUGUGAAAUGUUGGGUUAAGUCCCGCAACGAGCGCAACCCUUAUCCUUGUUUGCCAGCGAGUCAUGUCGGGAACU